rfam:Macrostomum lignano uti_cns_0000806, whole genome shotgun sequence.
AAAACGGCCCUUUUGAGGGCUACAGCUACACCCUAUUGCAGUUUAU